GUGAAUUCAGAUUUUAAAAUUACCUCUUAGGUCCUUUACUUAAUUAGUUUUUACCCCUUAUUUACUAACUUGUCACACAAGUAAGUGCCUGACAUUCCCUAAAACUCUAAGUAAACCCCUGUCUAGAAGUUCCUAGAGGAUUCUACAUUACCCUCCUUGCAACAAUUGGUGACAUAGGGGGGAUAGCCGGACAGAGAAAUUAGCCUUCACGGGGCUCCCGUAGGGUCUAUUCCACCAACAAAAACUGGGGCAAGAGCGUCUUUCACAGCUGAUUCAACNNNNNNNNNNNNNNNNNNNNNNNNGCAUUGAUGAAGGGUGGAACUUUUUCAGUCCCAAAGUGCGCUCUUCGACUCUCCAGCCCUUGACUUUAUAGAACUGGCGACAUUUUCUCAUACCUUUGCUAAGCAUGUCCUUGAGGGCCUCAAUGACGUCACCCUCGUUGCAACAAUUGGUGACAUAGGGGGGAUAGCCGGACAGAGAAAUUAGCCUUCACGGGGCUCCCGUAGGGUCUAUUCCACCAACAAAAACUGGGGCAAGAGCGUCUUUCUCCUGUAACUACCAAUUGCCCAUAACACCCCUGAGUUCAAUUAAUAUUUACAGCUAUAACCAAUCCUCAGAACCAGCUAUCUUGUCAAUUAGCUAAACAUAAACAGACUUUACAAGAAUACCAAUUCAAUUAGACGAUCACCUAAUACUUCAAAGCAGAUUUAACUUAAACUAAAUCUACCAAGAAAGAUGAAACUACACGAAGGGAUUUCAACUAAACUAAUCGAUUUCAAGUACCUACCAAUUAAACUAUCCAGACGAGGCAUCAAAAUUAAUCCAAUCAACCAAUUAACAGGAUGAACUAAUCUGAAAAUUUAACUAUCUAACUCUAAAACUCAAACCCAACUUGAAUUAAAAGUAAUUACAUCACAGAAUUCACACAUGCAAAAAAAAACA
rnacentral:lncRNA from 1 species